rnacentral:rRNA from 1 species
CCUACGGGUGGCAGCAGUGAGGAAUAUUGGUCAAUGGCCGGAAGGCUGAACCAGCCAAGCCGCGUGAGUGAAUAAGGCACUAUGGGUCGUAAACCUCUUUUGUCAGGGAGCAAAGGCUUCCACGAGUGGACGAAAGAAUAGUACCUGAAAAAAAAGCUUCGCCUAACUCCUUGCCAGCAGCCGCGGUAAUACGGAGGUUGCGAGCUUUACCCGUAUUCAUUGGUUUUAAGGGGUGCGUAGGCGGAGUUUCAAUUCAGCGGUAAAAUUUCGGGGCUCAACCCCGUCGUGCCGUUGAAACUGGAAGCCUUGAGUGGGUGAGAAGUAAGCGGAAUGCGUGGUGUAGCGGUGAAAUGCAUAGAUAUCGCGCAGAACGCCGAUUGCGAAGGCAGCUUACCGGCGCUCAACUGACGCUGAGGCACGAAAGUGCGGGUAUCGAACAGGAUUAGAUACCCGUGUAGUC